AGGACGAACGCUGGCGGCGUGCUUAACACAUGCAAGUCGAGCGGAAAGGCCCUUCGGGGUACUCGAGCGGCGAACGGGUGAGUAACACGUGAGCAACCUGCCCUUAGCUUCGGGAUAGCUCCGGGAAACCGGAAUUAAUACCGGAUAUGACUAUGGCCGACAUCAGCCAUGGUGGAAAGUUUUUCGGCUAGGGAUGGACUCGCGGCCUAUCAGCUAGUUGGUGAGGUAACGGCUCACCAAGGCGACGACGGGUAGCCGGCCUGAGAGGGCGACCGGCCACACUGGGACUGAGACACGGCCCAGACUCCUACGGGAGGCAGCAGUGGGGAAUAUUGCGCAAUGGGCGAAAGCCUGACGCAGCGACGCCGCGUGGGGGAUGAAUGCCUUCGGGUUGUAAACCCCUUUCAGCAGGGACGAAGCGAAGUGACGGUACUGCAGAGAAGCGCGGCUAACUACGUGCCAGCAGCCGC
rnacentral:rRNA from 1 species